rnacentral:rRNA from 1 species
UUUAAUAUGAGAGUUUGAUCCUGGCUCAGGAUGAACGCUGGCGGCGCGCUUAAGACAUGCAAGUCGAACGGAACUUAGUUGAAUGUUUACAUGAUACGAAAGUUUAGUGGCGGACGGGUGAGUA